CCGAUGGCGACCGGCGCACGGGUGAGUAACACGUAUCCAACCUGCCGUCUACUCUUGGACAGCCUUCUGAAAGGAAGAUUAAUACAAGAUGGCAUCAUGAGUCCGCAUGUUCACAUGAUUAAAGGUAUUCCGGUAGACGAUGGGGAUGCGUUCCAUUAGAUAGUAGGCGGGGUAACGGCCCACCUAGUCUUCGAUGGAUAGGGGUUCUGAGAGGAAGGUCCCCCACAUUGGAACUGAGACACGGUCCAAACUCCUACGGGAGGCAGCAGUGAGGAAUAUUGGUCAAUGGGCGAGAGCCUGAACCAGCCAAGUAGCGUGAAGGAUGACUGCCCUAUGGGUUGUAAACUUCUUUUAUAAAGGAAUAAAGUCGGGUAUGGAUACCCGUUUGCAUGUACUUUAUGAAUAAGGAUCGGCUAACUCCGUGCCAGCAGCCGCGGUAAUACGGAGGAUCCGAGCGUUAUCCGGAUUUAUUGGGUUUAAAGGGAGCGUAGAUGGAUGUUUAAGUCAGUUGUGAAAGUUUGCGGCUCAACCGUAAAAUUGCAGUUGAUACUGGAUAUCUUGAGUGCGGUUGAGGCAGGCGGAAUUCGUGGUGUAGCGGUGAAAUGCUUAGAUAUCACGAAGAACUCCGAUUGCGAA
rnacentral:rRNA from 1 species